GAGUUUGAUCGUGGCUCAGAACGAACGCUGGCGGCAGGCUUAACACAUGCAAGUCGAACGGGCGUAGCAAUACGUCAGUGGCGCACGGGUGAGUAACGCGUGGAUAUCUGCCUUUUGGUUCGGGAUAACCUUGGGAAACUAGGGCUAAUACCGAAUGGUUCCUACGGGAUAAAGAUUUAUCGCCAAAAGAUGAGUCCGCGUCCGAUUAGCUAGUUGGCGGGGUAACGGCCCACCAAGGCGACGAUCGGUAGCUGGUCUGAGAGGACGAUCAGCCACACUGGGACUGAGACACGGCCCAGACUCCUACGGGAGGCAGCAGUGAGGAAUAUUGCACAAUGGGCGAAAGCCUGAUGCAGCGACGCCGUGUGUGGGACGAAGGGGCUAUGCCCUGUAAACCACUGUCGGGA
rnacentral:rRNA from 1 species